rnacentral:tRNA from 1 species
GCCUGGGUGGCUCAGUUGGUUGAGCAUCCGACUUCAGCUCAGGUCAUGAUCUCACGGUUCGUGAGUUUGAGCCCCGCAUCAGGCU